rnacentral:rRNA from 1 species
GUGUCAGCAGCCGCGGUAAUACGUAGGUGGCAAGCGUUGUCCGGAAUUAUUGGGCGUAAAGGGCGCGUAGGCGGCCUGAUAAGUCAGAUGUGAAAGCCCGAGGCUCAACCUCGGAUCUGCAUUUGAAACUGUCGGGCUAGAGUGCAGGAGAGGUAAGUGGAAUUCCUAGUGUAGCGGUGAAAUGCGUAGAGAUUAGGAGGAACACCAGUGGCGAAGGCGACUUACUGGACUGUAACUGACGCUGAGGCGCGAAAGCGUGGGGAGCAAACAGGAUUAGAUACCCUGGUAGUCCACGCUGUAAACGAUGGAUACUAGGUGUGGGAGGUAUCGACCCCUUCCGUGCCGCAGUAAACGCAAUAAGUAUCCCGCCUGGGGAGUACGGCCGCAAGGUUGAA